AGAGUUUGAUCCUGGCUCAGCCUGAACGCUGGCGGCGUGGCUAAGACAUGCAAGUCGCACGGGGUCGCAAGACCCAGUGGCGAACGGGUGAGUAAUGAAUCGCUAAUGUACCCCGGACUCUGGGAUAGCUACCCGAAAGGGUAGGUAAUACCAGAUGAGACCACGAUCAGGCAUCUGAUUGUGCUCAAAGGUCCGCCGGUCUGGGAGCAGGCGAUUUCGUAUCAGCUAGUUGGUGAGGUAACGGCUCACCAAGGCGACGACGCGUAGCCGGACUGAGAGGUUGGCCGGCCACAUUGGGACUGAGACACUGCCCAGACUCCUAUGGGGGGCUGCAGUAACGAAUCUUCCGCAAUGCACGAAAGUGUGACGGAGCGACGCCGCGUGUAGGACGAAGCCCUUCGGGGUGUAAACUACUGUCAGGGGUUAGAAAGUUCUGAUCAACCCCAGAGGAAGGCACGGCUAACUCUGUGCCAGCAGCCGCGGUAAGACAGAGGUGCCAAGCGUUAGGCGGAAUCACUGGGCUUAAAGCGUGUGUAGGCGGAUUUGUAAGUACCUUGUGAAAUCCCACGGCUCAACCGUGGAACUGCUCGGUAUACUGCUUAUCUUGAGCCACUUAGGGGCUACCGGAACAACUGGUGGAGCGGUGAAAUGCGUAGAUAUCAUUUGGAACGCCAAUGGUGAAAACAGGUAGCUGGGAGUGUGCUGACGCUGAGACACGAAAGCCAGGGGAGCGAACGGGAUUAGAUACCCCCGUAGUCC
rnacentral:rRNA from 1 species